CCUAAGAAGCUGGCAUCGAAGUUGUUAGAAGAGUUAUUGGAAUGGGACUAACAGGAGAUGGUUGCCAGAGAAGGAUCCUGAAACUGUUAUCACAGCUAUACAAGGUCAAAUGAAGGGCAUAACCUUGGCAUGAAGAGGAAUUGGUAGAGGAGGGCUGAGCUACGGUCGAUGACCUUGGAGACAGAAUGCUGGUGAUAGAAUAGUGAAGCACAGCGCAGUGUUUAACUUGUCCGGACAUAGGUAAGAAAUCAGAUCCUGGCUCCGAGCCAUCAUACGAGGCGUGAGCCCACAGGCUGACUGUCAGCGGUGAAAAGGACUUUGCUGACUUCCAGAUAGGACAGAAGGAGGUAGGAUCCCAUCCGUGGUGCCUCAGAAGGUGGUGGAGGGGCGCAUUCUUAUGUGUUCACGGAACACUUCAGCUCAUGGUUACAGGUGGAUAUUUGCAUAUGAAUUAUCCAGCACAUGGUUUCGGGUGUAUGUGUGUGUGUGUGUGUGUGUGUGUGUGGUGUCCAUUUGUAUAUGAACUCUUUGGCUUACACCUGCAGCCCUAUAGUUCUUGCUUUUUUUUUUUUUUAAAUGAAAGUGAAUGCCCAAUCUUUAAACACUGUAAGUUCUGGUCGAAAGUGGAAAUAACUGGGAAGGAUCUGGGGACAUUAGUCCCAUAGCGUGGAAGCAGACACUACACUCUCCUUGGCAAGCCAUUGCAUGCACAGACGACACCUUAGUUCAGCCUCUGCUUGCAACUUAGAGCAGACACUGUUGCUAGAAUGUACUGGUCUCUUGACCUGAGGAAACCAUGAGGUGAUAAAUCCACGUUGCUUCAGCCAUCAAGCUUGUGGCACGGUGUUAUUUGGUGACAGAGAGUGACCAAGGAGUGAAAACAACAUACCUCCCUAGAGCAGGCUCACUGUAUGCCUGUCUAAUGAGGAAAUGGUCACAGGGAUGUUGAUGGCAGUCAGACCCCUUCACCACUGUCGGCCUUCUCUGCUUGGUGACAAAGACUCUGGGCUGUGUCUGUAGCACACGUGUUCCUCUGAUGGCCUCAUUUAGGAUACUGUUGAAAUAAAGCUUGCUACAGCAAUGCCCAAUGGCACGACUCAUAAUUAGUCUGAAUAACAUUUUCCAUUUUAAACCCUGAUUUUUUUUAUGGGAUUUACUGCUUGGCCCAUAAAAUCUCGUUCUAAACCGAGACCUGGCAUAAUUUUUAGCAUAAGCAAAUAUACCGUAGCUAUAAAUCACGAGCUCCAGUCUUGACCCUAGAAGGUGAAGAGCAAGCUCACGUGA
rnacentral:lncRNA from 1 species